GUGGAGAGUUUGAUCCUGGCUCAGGACGAACGCUGGCGGCGUGCUUAACACAUGCAAGUCGAACGGAAAGGCCCUGCUUUUGUGGGGUGCUCGAGUGGCGAACGGGUGAGUAACACGUGAGUAACCUGCCCUUGACUUUGGGAUAACUUCAGGAAACUGGGGCUAAUACCGGAUAGGAGCUCCUGCUGCAUGGUGGGGGUUGGAAAGUUUCGGCGGUUGGGGAUGGACUCGCGGCUUAUCAGCUUGUUGGUGGGGUAGUGGCUUACCAAGGCUUUGACGGGUAGCCGGCCUGAGAGGGUGACCGGCCACACUGGGACUGAGACACGGCCCAGACUCCUACGGGAG
rnacentral:rRNA from 1 species